GUCUACGGUCAUGCCACCCUAAACAAGCCCAAUCCCGUCUGAUCUCAGAAGCUAAGCAGAGUGGGGCCUGGUUAGUACUUGGAUGGGAGAACACCUGGGAAGACGAGGUGCCGUAGGCA
rnacentral:rRNA from 1 species